UACAGAGGGGGCAAGCGUUGUUCGGAAUUACUGGGCGUAAAGGGCGCGUAGGCGGCCUGUUAAGUCGAACGUGAAAUCCCCGGGCUCAACCCGGGAACUGCGUCCGAUACUGGCAGGCUUGAAUCCGGGAGAGGGAUGCGGAAUUCCAGGUGUAGCGGUGAAAUGCGUAGAUAUCGGGAGGAACAUCAGUGGCGAAGGCGGCCCUCUGGUCCAGUACUGACACUCAAGUGCGAAAAGCGUGGGGGAGCAAACAGG
rnacentral:rRNA from 1 species